CCCACGGAUGAGGAAGACUGAUGCUGCUGGAGUUUGCUGCUUUACAGAUAAAUGCAGCGUCAUCCCACCGACACUAUACAAGAAUAGAUUCAAAAGUGACCUGAAUGACGCUACAAGCUCUGACGUGGAUAUAAGCUCUUUUACAGUGAAAGCCAAUUUACGGCCUGAUUAGAGCAGAUCUGUCUGCCCAACCCCUCAAAGCUCUGGCCUGGGAGCUCCAUCACAGCCGAAAGGACACUUAAUUAGAAGUCCAGGAAGGAGAGAGACGGAGGCAGUGUGUCUGUGAACAACUAAGAUGAAUGUGACUGGGGCCAGACCUGUCAUCCUGUCCUCCAAUUAAAAGAUUCAAGAGUGUGAAGAAAACUGUCUGCGACUGAGACCAGAGGAAGGACAUGUGAAGCAUCCAGACGAGCCAUUUAUGUAAGAAUCUUUCAUCAGCUGCCUAUAUAUAUGAGAUAAAAACUUUAUGAGAAUCAGCUAAGUUUCUGUUUCAGUGAAAAAGCAUAUAUAUCUGUCAUUCUGUGAUGAUUAUGAACAUCUCAAAGUA